GCCUUCGUGGUGUAGUGGUCAGCACGCUCGACCCGUAACCGACAUGUCCGUAGUUCGAGUCCCGGAGAAGGCG
rnacentral:tRNA from 1 species